CUGGCCGCCACUGGACGCUGGUAUGGCGGCGUGACAAGCUUCAUGAUUAUCCGCUAGAAUACUUGUCCUGCACGGUGCUCCUCAAUGGGAAGGAUCCUAGAUGACCCUGGAGUCCUUUAGCUACAUCCUGCUGGUGUUCCGGAGCAGGAUGGAUGGAAGAGUGGAGGAAGCAGGUGGUCUGGGAUGCAAAAGUGAAGCAGUUGGCCAGCAAGACCUUGGCUCUGACACAGUUAGGAGGUGAAGAGGAAGGGCUCCUGGAUCAACACAGGUUAUCAUGGAAGGUGAAGAUCUCCACACCAAAAGGGAAGAUGACCCUUGCAAGAUACGACCUACUACUGGUACUCCACAGUAGCCAGGACGAACGAUAGGUCCUGGAGUGCCAUAGAAGAAGACAGAGAAGACAAAAGAUAAGAAGAGAACAAGAAGAACCCCUUUGUG